CACACGCGCAGACAGACACGAUUCUCCCGGCCGCCGUCGUCGAGGAACUGAACCGUGCAGGGGGCAUGCAGCUUCCCGGAAGCUGCUAGCUUGGCAAUGCGUGUAUAUAGAGUUGUCUCCCCGGCCAUUCUCUAACACGUAUACGUACCAAGAAGAGGUCGAGGGACGAGGUGUCUCCAAGCAGAGGCCGGUCCUCUGCAAGCUGCCGCUACGAUCUUGGACGGCCGGCGGCAAACGUACUGCUGGUCCGACAUUCGUCGCGGGGAGCCAGCUGCCGGCACGGCGCACCCGAGGACCUGCGCGCGGUUGCAGCCUGCAGUUUCCUACAUUGGGCCAGUGUGGUAGCUUCUCACUGACACAAUGGAACAAGUAGAGAUUUGGGCACCCAUCUUCGCUGAUCCUCUCCCAAGCCAGGCGGAGAUUGAAGUUUACUCAACAUCCCUGGAUUAUGACACCACAGACUUCCAAGCACUCUUAGAAGGACCCCAAAAUGAACAUGAUUUGGACAGAUUGCUGAAAUGUGCAUUCAAUCCUACUUAUAUAAAGGAGGCAAAUUUAACUCACGAGGCAAGAUUUUCACACAUGCAAAAGUACAAACUUGCUAAUAAAUAAACAUGGCAAAUGGUACUGGAAAUAUGUAUCAUCAUUGCAGAUUGAAUGCAGAUUUUAUUCACCAACUAGUGAUCAUGGCAUGACAAUACAAACACUUGGACCUGCUCCACCAGAGGCGCUGCCUGAGAAAGAGGAGGC